rnacentral:rRNA from 1 species
CAGCCGCCGCGGUAAUACGUAGGGGGCGAGCGUUGUCCGGAAUUAUUGGGCGUAAAGGGUUCGUAGGCGGUAAUACAUGUCAGAUGUGAAAUCUUGUGGCUUAACCACAUCAAGCAUCUGAAACUGUAUAACUUGAGUGGAGGAGAGGUAAGUGGAAUUCCUAGUGUAGCGGUGAAAUGCGUAGAUAUUAGGAAGAAUACCAGUAGCGAAGGCGACUUACUGGCCUCUAACUGACGCUGAUGAACGAAAGCGUGGGUAGCAAACAGGAUUAGAUACCCUGGUAGUCCACGCCGUAAACGAUGAGUGCUAGGUGUCGGGAGUCAAAUCUCGGUGCCGUAGUUAACGCAAUAAGCACUCCGCCUGGGGAGUACGUGCGCAAGCAUGAAACUCAAAGGAAUUGACGGGGACCCGCACAAGCAGCGGAGCAUGUGGUUUAAUUCGAAGCAACGCGAAGAACCUUACCAGGACUUGACAUACUAGUGCCAAAUGUAGAGAUACAUUAUUUCUUCGGAACACUAAUACAGGUGGUGCAUGGCC